AAACGGUUGUUAGAGCCCCUUCUGUUGUCGACGACGUAGUAGUAGAGCGUUUGUGAUGUCCAUGAUAUCCUUGGUUUGGGCCAUGGUGAUGGCCAUUCUCGCCUUUGGCCGAUUCGUGUUUGUGACGCAUAGCGGCAAACCAUUUUUAGCCUAUGUUCUCCAACAUCUGUAAUUGAAUUUU